rnacentral:hammerhead_ribozyme from 1 species
AUCCAACUGACGAUUCCCAAAUAGGACGAAACGCGCAUCCUGGAU